UACGUAGGGUGCGAGCGUUAAUCGGAAUUACUGGGCGUAAAGUGUGCGCAGGCGGCAGAGCAAGUCGAGUGUGAAAGCCCCGGGCUUAACUUGGGAAUUGCGCUCGAAACUACUUUGCUGGAGUGUGGCAGAGGAAGGUGGAAUUCCACGUGUAGCGGUGAAAUGCGUAGAGAUGUGGAGGAACACCGAUGGCGAAGGCAGCCUCCUGGGCCAGCACUGACGCUCAUGCACGAAAGCGUGAGGAGCAAACAGG
rnacentral:rRNA from 1 species